UACGGGGGGGGCAAGCGUUGUUCGGAAUUACUGGGCGUAAAGGGCUCGUAGGCGGCCAACUAAGUCAGACGUGAAAUCCCUCGGCUUAACCGGGGAACUGCGUCUGAUACUGGAUGGCUUGAGGUUGGGAGAGGGAUGCGGAAUUCCAGGUGUAGCGGUGAAAUGCGUAGAUAUCAAGAGGAACACUCGUGGCGAAAGCGAGCUACUGGACAACACCUGACGCUGAGGCUCGAAGGCCAGGGGAGCGAAAGGG
rnacentral:rRNA from 1 species